AGUAGUAGCGACGGCAACAGCAUCCGGCAGCGUCAGGUGGCAGAAAACGACAAGGACAGCAGCUCUUCAACACCGUUCAUAACGUUUCCGGCGAUGACAAUAGCUUUUUCUAGUGUCAACCAACUUUUCUGAGUGUGGGUUUCAUUUUGGGGGCAAUAGCAGCGGUAUUGGUGGUCGGAGGAAGGAGAUCCGACGAGGUGAAAAUUAUAGGGCAAUUGGCUUUUUUUCAAUUUUCAGUAAGUGUCGUUGAGUUUUAAAUAAUCAAAGACCAUAUUCGGGACCUACGCGUUAUAACAUUUUCGAUGACACCAAUAUCGCAGCGAUUGGAUCCCAUCAGAAAAGCGAUUGUUGAAACCUUCUAGGAUGUUUCAGGAUGAUCAGAGGCUGGAUUGGAGAAUCUAGUGCUAGAUUCAUCAUCUCCGCAUUAUUUUGAGUUUGUAGACGCGCUCGGAUUGUUUAUCGAACUCCGAUAACCGAAGAUGAGUCGACUGAAUUAAGAC
rnacentral:lncRNA from 1 species